CGGCUUCUUUGUGCUACAGGAGAUGGCCUACCAGAUUGGUCGUUUGCGUAGCAUGGGCUGGAUGAACACUACCGUAAGUACAAAAAAGAUGAGUUGAUGUGUGCUAAUUAAAAUCCAACCAGUUUAUUAAAUGUUUUGAGUUUUUGCACCUUUCCUAGGAUCCUAUACAGCUCAAACAUCAAGCUACGGUCCACAUGUUAAUGUUCAAAGGCAAUGAAGCUGCUGCAAACAUCCCGCCAGAGAUUAAGCGGCCCUGAGGGUUUUAAGCAACUGAAGAAGGACUGAUGCAUGCAGAUAUGCCAAGAAAGUUUGCCUACACUACAGAUUUUUUAUGGAACGUUUUGAUAAUUAUUUAUUUUUGAUAUGAAUAAUUAGAUAAUAAGUUAGUGGGGUCCUCUAUAGACGUAUGUUCAAAAAGAUUAGGAUGUUUUGGUAUUAUCAACCUAUUCGAACUUUAUGCUGUUUUGGUAUUAUUGAAGUUUGGUUUUAUUACCAUAUUGUUGGAUUAUUAAUCUAUUUUGUUGCAACAUCAUGAACGAAUCAUUUGGUUUUCU
rnacentral:lncRNA from 1 species